rnacentral:rRNA from 1 species
AACUCGCUGCUUCGAUCAUUUCCGGUCGAGUCGGCAAUAGUUCUUUUACGGAGAGUUUGAGUCCUGGCGUCAGGGAUGAACGCUGGCGGCGUGCUUAACACAUGCAAGUCGAACGGUGAAGGCGGAGCUUGCUCUGCUGGAUCAGUGGCGAACGGGUGAGUAACACGUGAGCAAUCGUGCCCCUGACUCUGGGAUAAGCGCUGGAAACGGCGUCUAAUACUGGAUACGAGCUGCGAAGGCAUCUUCAGCAGCUGGAAAGAACUUCGGUCAGGGAUGAGCUCGCGGCCUAUCAGCUUGUUGGUGAGGUAAUGGCUCACCAAGGCGUCGACGGGUAGCCGGCCUGAGAGGGUGACCGGCCACACUGGGACUGAGACACGGCCCAGACUCCUACGGGAGGCAGCAGUGGGGAAUUUUUGGACAAUGGGCGCAAGCCUGAUCCAGCCAUGCCGC